rnacentral:rRNA from 1 species
AGAGCGUACGGUGGAUGCCUUGGCACCAGGAGCCGAUGAAGGACGUAGGAGGCUGCGAUAAGCCUCGGGGAGCUGUCAACCGAGCUGAGAUCCGAGGAUGUCCGAAUGGGGAAACCCAGCACGAGUGAUGUCGUGUUACCCGCACCUGAAUAUAUAGGGUGUGUGGAGGGAACGUGGGGAAGUGAAACAUCUCAGUACCCACAGGAAGAGAAAACAAUAGUGAUUCCGUGAGUAGUGGCGAGCGAAAGCGGAAGAGGCUAAACCAUGAAUGUGUGAUAGCCGGCAGGUGUUGCAUUUGUGGGGUUGUGGGGUUCAUCAGUGUCGAUACUGCCGUGUUGGCCGACAGUAAGAAAUCGUUGUGUUAGUGGAAGUGGUCUGGAACGGCCUGUCGUAGAGGGUGAGAGUCCCGUACACGAAAACAUGACGACUGUUGUGAUGGAAACCCAAGUAGCACCGGGCCCGUGAAAUCCGGUGUGAAUCUGUCGGGACCACCCGAUAAGCCUGAAUACUCCCUGGUGACCGAUAGCGGACUAGUACCGUGAGGGAAAGGUGAAAAGUACCCCGGGAGGGGAGUGAAAUAGUACCUGAAACCGUGCGCUUACAAUCCGUCAGAGCCUUCGAACGACUUGUCGUUGGGGGUGAUGGCGUGCCUUUUGAAGAAUGAGCCUGCGAGUUAGUGGCAUGUCGCGAGGUUAACCCGUGUGGGGUAGCCGUAGCGAAAGCGAGUCUGAAUAGGGCGACGCAGUGGCAUGUUCUAGACCCGAAGCGGAGUGAUCUACCCAUGGCCAGGUUGAAGCGACGGUAAGACGUCGUGGAGGACCGAACCCACUUAGGUUGAAAACUGAGGGGAUGAGUUGUGGGUAGGGGUGAAAGGCCAAUCAAACUCCGUGAUAGCUGGUUCUCCCCGAAAUGCAUUUAGGUGCAGCGUCGCGUGUUUCUCACCGGAGGUAGAGCUACUGGAUGGUCUAGGGGGCCUACAAGCUUACCGAAAUCAGCCAAACUCCGAAUGCCGGUGAGUGAGAGCGCGGCAGUGAGACUGCGGGCGAUAAGGUUCGUAGUCGAGAGGGAAACAGCCCAGAUCGCCAGCUAAGGUCCCUAAGCGUGUACUAAGUGGAAAAGGAUGUGGGGUCGCGAAGACAACCAGGAGGUUGGCUUAGAAGCAGCCACCCUUGAAAGAGUGCGUAAUAGCUCACUGGUCAAGUGAUCCUGCGCCGACAAUGUAGCGGGGCUCAAGUACACCACCGAAGCUGCGGCAUUCACACAAUGCACCCCCUUCACUCUGCGGAGUGUUGGGCAGUGGUGUGGAUGGGUAGGGGAGCGUCGUGUGGCCAGGGAAGCGGCGGGGUGACCCAGCCGUGGAGGCCACACGAGUGAGAAUGCAGGCAUGAGUAGCGAAAGACGAGUGAGAAACUCGUCCGCCGAAUGACCAAGGGUUCCUGGGCCAGGUUAAUCCGCCCAGGGUGAGUCGGGACCUAAGACGAGGCCGACAGGCGUAGCCGAUGGACAACGGGUUGAUAUUCCCGUACCCGUGUGAACGCGCCCCUGGUGAAUCAGUGAUACUAACCAUCCUGAAGCGUCCUUACUUCCCUUCGGGGAACCUGGACGUGGAUGCAUGGGACCUGAUCUGGUAGUAGCCAAGCGAUGGGGUGACGCAGGAAGGUAGCUGAGCCAGUCAGUGGUAACACUGGUGUAAGCCUGUAGGGCGAAUGGUAGGUAAAUCCGCUGUUCAUGUGCCUGAGAGGUGAUGCAUAGCCGAAUGAGGCGAAUUCAGUGAUCCUAUGCUGCCGAGAAAAGCCUCUAGCGAGCUUUCACACGGCCCGUACCCCAAACCGACACAGGUGGUCAGGUAGAGAAUACUAAGGCGAUCGAGAUAACUAUGGUUAAGGAACUCGGCAAAAUGCCCCCGUAACUUCGGGAGAAGGGGGGCCUUGUCCGGUGAUCACUCUUGCAGUGUGAGCUGGGUGGGGCCGCAGAGACCAGUGAGAAGCGACUGUUUACUAAAAACACAGGUCCGUGCGAAGUCGUAAGACGAUGUAUACGGACUGACGCCUGCCCGGUGCUGGAAGGUUAAGAGGACCGGUUAGUUCCUUCGGGAGCGAAGCUGAGAAUUUAAGCCCCAGUAAACGGCGGUGGUAACUAUAACCAUCCUAAGGUAGCGAAAUUCCUUGUCGGGUAAGUUCCGACCUGCACGAAUGGCGUAACGACUUCUCAGCUGUCUCAACCAUAGACUCGGCGAAAUUGCAUUACGAGUAAAGAUGCUCGUUACGCGCGGCAGGACGAAAAGACCCCGGGACCUUCACUACAGCUUGGUAUUGGUGUUCGAUUCGGUUUGUGUAGGAUAGGUGGGAGACUGUGAAGUGGCCACGCCAGUGGUUGUGGAGUCGUUGUUGAAAUACCACUCUGAUCGUAUUGGACUUCUAACCUCGGACCAUGAUCUGGUUCAGGGACAGUGCCUGGUGGGUAGUUUAACUGGGGCGGUUGCCUCCCAAAAUGUAACGGAGGCGCCCAAAGGUUCCCUCAGCCUGGUUGGCAAUCAGGUGUCGAGUGCAAGUGCACAAGGGAGCUUGACUGUGAGACUGACAAGUCGAGCAGGGACGAAAGUCGGGACUAGUGAUCCGGCACCGGCAAGUGGAAGCGGUGUCGCUCAACGGAUAAAAGGUACCCCGGGGAUAACAGGCUGAUCUUCCCCAAGAGUCCAUAUCGACGGGAUGGUUUGGCACCUCGAUGUCGGCUCGUCGCAUCCUGGGGCUGGAGUAGGUCCCAAGGGUUGGGCUGUUCGCCCAUUAAAGCGGCACGCGAGCUGGGUUUAGAACGUCGUGAGACAGUUCGGUCUCUAUCCGCCGCGCGCGUUAGAAACUUGAGGAAGGCUGUCCCUAGUACGAGAGGACCGGGACGGACGAACCUCUGGUGUGCCAGUUGUUCCACCAGGAGCACCGCUGGUUAGCUACGUUCGGAAGGGAUAACCGCUGAAAGCAUCUAAGCGGGAAGCCUGUUCCAAGAUGAGGUUUCU